rnacentral:rRNA from 1 species
CACGUAGGGUGCGAGCGUUGUCCGGAAUUAUUGGGCGUAAAGAGCUCGUAGGCGGUCUGUCACGUCGGCUGUGAAAUCCCGAGGCUCAACCUCGGGUCUGCAGUCGAUACGGGCAAACUAGAGUAUUGCAGGGGAGACUGGAAUUCCUGGUGUAGCGGUGAAAUGCGCAGAUAUCAGGAGGAACACCGGUGGCGAAGGCGGGUCUCUGGGCAAUAACUGACGCUGAGGAGCGAAAGCGUGGGGAGCGAACAGG